CAACGUGCCCUUCCUUUCAGCCCCAGCCAGCCACGGCCGUACUGGCUGGGGAUGAUGGGAAUCGCAGUUCUACCCAUUCGGGUUGGGAAAGCUCCCCUCCAAAGUUUAGCUGUGUUAACUGUGUUUCAGGAAGUGGGGCUUCCUUUCUUCUAGAUUCAACUUGGCAGCCGGAAGUUCAGAGUAGCAAUGGAGAAGAGUUAAAAGAAGCCCGUAUUGCUCGGCGGCGCCCGUCUCUCCGUCCCCGACGGAUCGCUGGGCAGCCCAGGGCCCGGCCUCCUUUGGCGCGUCCGCCGGGCUUCCGCCGCUUCCUGAACCCUGAGCGCGCGCUCGCCCUUCGAGAGGACUGGCGUCUUAACCGGAGUUAAACUGUCUUGAAAAAGCAAAACACUGCACAGAAUGGAAUCUUCUGCUCUUCUAUGCCAUCAGUGUCUUUACCCAGCCUCAUCCCUCAACUUCCUGUCAGGAGCAGAUCUUUGUUUGCCAGUAAUAAGAAUGGGAAGAGAGUGAACAAAGAGACCUGUGGAGAUAGGAUGGCAAGCCCAGAGGCUGUAUCCUUGAUACAGCUUUUGAAGUUUUUAAAGGGAACUGGCAAGGUCUUCAGGUCGACAGCUGGCAAGCCAUUCUACACAGUCCAUACAGCCCGAGCAUCUAGAAUCACAAAUAUAUAUUGAGGCAGGAGAAGGAAUUUAUUUAUCAGUGUUCUUCUAUGAGUGAAACAGACCAUUGGAGGAUGGUGUUCCUGCUCCCCCUGCAGUCUUCCAUAAAAGUAAAAGGAAAAUAUAUAUCAUUGAGUUGUACUCGAUUCCUGAUGACCACACGGACACAUCUAUGUAAUUUUCUUUGGCAACAUUAUGGAAACACUUCCUCCUGAUGUGGAACUACCACAAGAGAAACUUCAGCAAAGUUGUGUGGAGACAGACUAGGUGGCGCACACGUGAAAGGGCUUCUGGCAAAACCUUUGACUGAUCUCCUCCUUGUUGGGAUGCAACUAACAAAAGAAGGGAGCACACAGUUGGAUUUAGUAAAGUUUUAUGAUUGCAUUAUCAGGCUCUGAGCUGCAGACAGAUUGUGAUUUUCCUGCCCAACUAAAUCAGUGAUUAGCAAUGUGCAAAUAGCAGAAUCUAUAUUAAUAAAGCAAUGAAGUAAAUCAUCACCUAAGCACACUACAGUGGAAUGUCUAUAAUCUUCUGGGAAGAUUAUAUGGUUAUAUAAAGCAGUAGUAAUAGCCUUCGACAAGACCUAAGUUUAACUCAUAGAAUCAUCUAUUGUAAUGUCCUUCCUGUCAAAGACUACUUCAGCUUUAAUUGCAAUAAUACAAGAGCAACCAAUAGAUUUAAACUUAAUGUUAACCGCUUUAAUCUAGAUUGCAGAAAAUCUGUAACAGAAUCAUCAGUGCUUGGAAUACUUUACCUGACUCUGUGGUCUCUUCUCAUAAUCCUAAAAGCUUUAACCCAAAACUUUCUACUAUUGACCUCACCCCAUUCCUAAGAGGACCAUAAGGGGUGUGCAUAAGCGCACAAACGUGCCUACCGUUCCUGUCCUAUUGUUUUUCUUUUCUUCUUCAUAUAUAUAUAUAUGCUUAUACCUUUAUAUACUAUAUAACCUUUCUGUAUGAUAGUUACAUAUAUUGUUGUGACAAAAUAAAUAAAUAAAUAAAAUAAAUAAAAUAAAAUAAAUAAAUAAAUAAAUAAAUAGAUAAAUAAAUAAAUAGUAUUGUAAAAAGCCCUGCCACUCCAUCUUGAGGAGUUGCUACAAUCCAGACUCUCACAGUGUCAAGCAACACAACCAUUUGUAAAAUUAUGUCAUAGAUAGAAUAAUAGAGUUGGAAGGGACCUUGGAGGUCUUCUAGUCCAAACUUCUAGUCCAAGCAUACCAUUUAAGAUAAAUGAUUGUCGAGUCUAUUUUUGAAAGCCUCUAGUGAUGGAGCAUCCACAACUUCUGAAGGCAAGUUGUUCCAUUGGUUGAUUGCUCUCACUGUUAGGAAAGUUCUAGGUUGCUUCUCUCCUUGGUUGAUUUCCAUUCAUUGUUUCUCAUCUUGCCUUUUGGUGCUUUGGAAAAUCGGUUGACCCCUCUUGUCUUUGUAGGAGCCGCUCAAAUAGUGGAACACUGCUAUCAUGUCUCCCCUAGUCCAUCUUUUCAUUAGACUAGACAUAGUCAAUUCCUGUAACUGUUCUUUGUAUGUUUAAGCCUCCAGUCCCCUAAUCAUCUUUGUUGCUCUUCUCUACACUAUUUCUAAAGUCUCAUCAAGUGUGGUCUUAUGAAGACUUUGUAAAGCGGUACUAAAACUUCAUAUGAUCUUGAACUUAUCCUAUCCUAUCCUAUCCUAUCCUAUCCUAUCCUAUCCUAUCCUUUUUCUCUUCUCUGCGAUGCUCCACUUCAAUGCCUUGAAAUGAAGUUUCAAAAUAGUCCAAUAAUUUGAUGGCAGUUUUGCUCCAUGGAAAAAGACAUCUCUGCAAAAAUUCCUCUUAUCAAAUGGCAGAACUGCUCCAGCCAGAUUUUCCAAAGAGAAGUCUUGCUUUAUUUGCUUCUUAGAUUGACAUCCCAUGUGAAGACAGAAGCUUAUGUUUGUCUUAUGUGAGAUCUCCCUUUUUUUAUUCCCAUAAACUCCCUGUGCAGAGCUGAGAGGGACUGGUUUACAGCCACCAAUGAGUUUCUAUGGUUGAAGGAGGAUUUAAGCCUGGUGCAUCAGCUUUACAACACUGAGAUACAUCCUGAAGGAGCUCUGUGACUAAAGCCUUAUUAAAUGAAAGCCUUCUUCGAAGCUCUAUACAGUCUUACAAAACAGUACAUUUCUUUCACUACAAUUUCAAAAGAAUAUUCUAUUCCCUGGGACAAAAUAAUUGUAAGACCUGUCACAAUAUGAUCUUCUGGCUCAUCCCACUAGCUUAUUAUAAUAGUUUAAAAGAAAUGAUGAUCAAUAUCUCCCGUCAUUCAAAAGGAUGGGGCAACAUUUCUAUUACUGAAAACAGCUGUUGUAUCAUGUUGUGUCCUCUUCCUUAUUUAUUUAUUUAUUUAUAUCCCACCUUUAUCAUUUUUACAAAUAACUCAAAAUAGUGAACACAUCCAACUCAUCUUCUUCCUCUUAUUUUCUCCACAAUAACAAUACUGUGAGGUGAGUCGGGCUGAGAGAGAGUGACUAGUCGAAGUAAAAGGAUUAUCACUUCAGAAAUAAAUGCUUUAUAGUGCUGUUCAUACGCUAUGAUGUGUGCAACUAUGAGGACCUAACUACAUCAAAAGAUGGAAAAAUGAUGCUUACAAGUAUGAAAGCCAUUUGUGUUUUGAAAGAAAAAUCUAAACUCAUUUUAACUUGUAUUUCAUAUUCUUAACAAAAAGCAGAAAAUACUACCUUCUGUAUUGGUUAUAAGAAUACUGUGGAAGCUUUAGUGGUUAAAUAUUUCCUAUAUUUUCAUGAGAACAGCAGGUUUCCACUUCCCCUUUUAAAUCAAGCUCAGCCUUAUUCCAAUACUUAAGGUAUAUUUCUGUAAUGCUAUUAUGGAUAUUUUAACAGACGUAUCCUAAGUAAGAAGGCAAAACAUGAACAUCAAGAUGAUGAAUAGAAUAGAAUUAGAUUUUUUUUUAUUGGCCAAGUGUGAUUGGACACACAAGGAAUUUGUCUUAGUGCAUAUGCUCUCAGGGUACAUAAAAGAAAAGAUACAUUCAUCAAGAAUCAUAUGGUCCAACACUUAAUGAUAGUCAUAGGGUACAAAUAAGCAAUCGGGAAACAAUCAAUAUCAAUAUAAAUCGUAAGGAUACAAACAACAAACUGAAGAGGACUGCCAUGGCCAAAUGCAAUUUUAUCUGCUGGGCAGUAUAGUUGUUUUUCCUCCUUCCCACCAACCUCCUGAAGAAAAUAUUUUUCUGUUGAUUGGAUGUUUGUAGACAAGAUGAUGUUUUUCACGCUGAAAGGAUUGUAAGAGGAAGGAGAAAUUGGCUUCUAAGGAUGCUCAUUGUCAGAAUUUAAUUUCUUCCCCUCCCAGUGACCCUUUUUGGCAAAGAAGGAAAGGCUCAACCCCCCCCUCCUUUUUUUUUUGCUUCUGAAAAGUCCCCAAGGGUAGGAUUUGUAUUUCAAAGACAUGCAAACAUCCUCAAAGCCCAAUGCCCUUCUCCACAAAGGUUCUUUCUGAAGUUAAGGACAACCAGUGAGAGGAUCACUGGUGCUGGUGAGCUUUAACUCUUCUCAAAUUUCCACAAGUAUCCAAUUGUCUCUAGCCAUUCUUGAAGUGUGGAAGACAUUCCAUUUCACAUCAGGGGAGAUAAUCUAGUCCUUUAAUAAAUUAGACAGCCUCCGAGAUCUAGUUGGGGUUCAUGCAUGUGGAAGCAUAUUUCUAACUGGAUGAAGAACCAUGCAUGUAGCUAGCUAGUUUCUGAAAGAUUAAACUCACAUAGGCCUUUUAGAAAAUUGAGAUCAUUUUGUUGCUGAACUACUUACAGGGAAAUGGCCAUGGGUGGACAAAGACGUAGGCUGCAUUCUUCUGCUCACUGACAAACAACUGAUAUGCAUGUUUGGCAUUUUUCCCCCCAGUAACUUUUUUUGUACAUUACAGAUGCCCACUAGAACAGGUAAGUAAAGUAAUACCUGUUUAUUUUUCCAACUCAUUAAUUGGGAUUCAAUAAAACCAUCAUGGUUAAAAAUCUUUUAGCAACAACUUAAUCUAAACAAAUUGAUGCUCUAUAGAAAUACUUAAGAUUUAUGAUUUGGUUUUAAUUUAAUAAACUUAGACUGUACAUUUUCCUGUAAACAAAUUAACUAUCUAUUAUAUGACAUACAGGGUUGCCAAGGCAGAAAUACAGUAAAUUCAAGUAAUAUAGUCCCUCUUCCCAGGAAGCUCAGGACACGAGUAACUAAAUACCAGUUUUCUGAAAUUAUACAUUCUAAGGCAUGUAUUUUUUGGUUAGUGAAGAAAGGGAGAGGAUAGUCUUAUACUGAGUAUAUUAAGUUCAAUUGAAGAUUUCAAUUUUAGUGUACCCGGAACUGGAUGGAAUUAGCUAAACACUGCUUAUUUCAACUGGUAGCUGAAGCAAUGCAGCUGCAAGUAGUGAAGAUUAGCUUUAAACAUUAGAAGAAGGCACAGCAUGAACAGUACCCAAGGUCAGAUGUGGCAUACACCUUUCGUCGUGAGCUUAAAACAUAUUUAUUCAUUCAAGCAGGACUGGCAUAAAUAGUUGAUUUUAAAUUGGGGUUUUAAUAAUAUUUUAAAUUUUUAAAUCUUUUAAUUAUCGGCCGUAUAGUAAUAGUUCAUUUUAAUUUCUUUUAAUUGUAUAUAUUCUGUGUUUUUAUUCUGGCUGUACACCGCCCUGAGUCCUUCAGGGGAAGGGCGGUAUAGAAAUUUAAUAAAAUAAAAUAAAUAAAUAAAAUAAAUACAAGUCACAGUGCUUAGCUUCACACAUUAAACCAAAACCAUACAAGUCAUAUGGCUUAAUGUGAUUCCUUUGGCAGUGAUUGGUCUUGGAACAGUUUUACCAGCUUCCAUGAAGUGGGGACCAAAUAGUUAAACAUUAUAAAUACAUAGCAGCUUACUGUAAAAGUACUUUUCAAGAACUUGACCUAACUAAUUAUACACAUUUUCAGCAACUUAAAAAUGGUUCACACAUACUGCCUUAAAGCAAUCCAUUCAUUUAAGUCCUUCACCAGAUUUAAGGGUCUGUAAAAAAGACAUAAAGAAUGGCGUUUUUGUUUCUCUUUUGGAACUUUUUGAUCUUAACUACAAGAGAUUGACACCAAAGCUUUGUAAUUCAAGUUUUUAUAAUUUCAUUUAAUUAGCAAUGUUGAUGUCCAAAUCUGUUUUAAAUUUCAUAUUAUAAUUGAAUAAAUAUACUCAAUGCAUUAAAAAUUAUAGAUUUGCAACAAUGUCAAGAAUCCCAUUAAAGUCCAACAUAUCUAAAACAGUCAAGAACCACUACAGACAAUAGUUGUAACACUUCAAUAAGAUUAAGACUUCAAUGCAGAAUUUUGGUUAGAAAGUUUGAAGGAGUCCAUCUUCAAGAUUAAAGAAGGGCAAAAUUGUAUUUUACAGAUGAAGUCCACUGGAAAUCCACUAUCAAUAGACAACAUAACUUUUUGAAAGUUCUAAUA